GCGCCCAUAGCUCAGCGGAUAGAGUGCCCGGCUACGAACCGGUAGGUCGAGGGUUCGAAUCCCCCUGGGCGCG
rnacentral:tRNA from 1 species